CAGCAGCCGCGGGAAUACGUAGGUCCCGAGCGUUGUCCGGAUUUAUUGGGCGUAAAGCGAGCGCAGGCGGUUAGAUAAGUCUGAAGUUAAAGGCCGUGGCUUAACCAUAGUACGCUUUGGAAACUGUUUAACUUGAGUGCAAGAGGGGAGAGUGGAAUUCCACGUGUAGCGGUGAAAUGCGUAGAUGUAUGGAGGAACACCGGUGGCGAAAGCGGCUCUCUGGCUUGUAACUGACGCUGAGGCUCGAAAGCGUGGGGGGCAAACAGGAUUAGAUACCCGCGUAGUCCCUGUCUCUUAUACA
rnacentral:rRNA from 1 species